rnacentral:rRNA from 1 species
GAUGAACGCUGGCGGCGUGCCUAAUACAUGCAAGUCGAGCGAACAGACGAGGAGCUUGCUCCUCUGACGUUAGCGGCGGACGGGUGAGUAACACGUGGAUAACCUACCUAUAAGACUGGGAUAACUUCGGGAAACCGGAGCUAAUACCGGAUAAUAUAUUGAACCGCAUGGUUCAAUAGUGAAAGACGGUUUUGCUGUCACUUAUAGAUGGAUCCGCGCCGCAUUAGCUAGUUGGUAAGGUAACGGCUUACCAAGGCAACGAUGCGUAGCCGACCUGAGAGGGUGAUCGCCCACACUGAAAUGGAGACACGGCCCAGCCUCUUAGGGGCGGCAGAGGUAGGUACUCUUCCGAAAGGGGCGAAAGCUUGACGGAGAAACGCGGCGGGGGUGAUGAAGGGCUCCGAAUCGUAAACUCUGUUAUUAGGGAAGAACAAAUGUGUAAGUAACUAUGCACGUCUUGACGGUACCUAAUCAGAAAGCCACGGCUAACUACGUG